rnacentral:sRNA from 1 species
CAAAGUGCUGGGAUUACAGGGAUGAGCCACCAUGCCCAGCCUGUUUCUUAAAUCAUCCUUUAGGUGGUUGAGAUUAAACAAUGCCUGCCCUCAAGUGGUGUGACCAGGAGGUGAGGAAGGAUUGGAAAAAGCUGGGGAUAGGAGCCAGUUAGAAACAAGACUAAACUGAAUAUGAAACCCAACCUGGUUUGGAUCUUAUGAUAGGAAGACUUGUGUUUAGAAGUCACUGUCUGUUGUGCUUAAAUUCUUCCAGGAUUCAUUAUUCCUAAUGAGCUUGGUGGCGUAGCUUCAAUACCAUUUGAACACUAAAGCCAUUAUUAGAAGAGAAGGCCAUUACUGGGUAAUUUCAUGCCCCUUAAUGUCUUUAACCACCACAUACGUACCCAUCCCCCUUCCUUUCUCACUUCAGAAAUGACAGGUUUUUUGGAAGAGAAGCAAUUUGCCAUUCACAGCAAGUAACUAAUAACAGAUGCUUUAUGUGGACAAUGAAGAUAAUUAUUGUGAUCUACUGUCUACUAAGCUUAUCGCAAACCCCAGCUGUUUCUUUUAGGGAACUGGAACUAGUUCCCAGAGUGGGGGCUUGAAACACCCCUCCACCCCCACUCACACACACACUUGCUUAUCUGCGCAGAUUUAUGGGGGAGGAGCAGAGCCUCCAGGAUCCUUGUAUGUGAGAAUGGGGAAGUAAAUGACAUGUUACCAUGGCGUAGAUAUCUUGCGUUUAUUUGAAGAGGAGAGAGAUCAGGAAACCAGAAAUAUCACAAGCCCCACUGCUAAAUAUGACUAGCUUAAAGAAAGAAAUAUCACAAGCUCAUAGAUUAGUGCUGGACACAGGGCAGGCAGGCUCCAGGGAUUACUUCUAGGAAGACAAAGGGUAUUAUGGUCUAAAAAAAAUAUCCUCACUUUAUUCUUGUCUUUUCAGUGAGUUGGCCCAUUGCUUCUGCUGUUUGCAAGUAAAAAUUAGCUAAGAAUCAAGAUGGUAGUUGGGAUGCAGGGCAGAGGUUGAAUGCAGCUCGCUCAUCUAAAGACCAUUUGAGGAAUAAUUCCUUUGGAAGUAGGAGCCUGGCACCAGAAUUCUAGAAUUGCAAGGGCCUUGGUGAUUGAUAGGGUUAUUUUGUGAACCUAAUUAAUUCUCUGUAUACAAGAUGAUAAUCUGUCUAUCCCAGAGGGGUUUGCCCCAUCUUUGGGUAGCUCCACUGACCAAUAGAAGUAAACCAGCUUUCUCCCGUGGUCCAGCCCUCCUUAUGCCCCUGCAGGAACCUCAGCACAGAGAAGUGGUCAUUGGGGAAUGAGAAUGGAAUCAUAUGAUUUGGUGCAUGUGUGUGCAUUUGCUUGGGGAAACUCCCCUCACCAAACUCUUGUCUUAUUUUUUCUAGUCUGGACACUGUUAUUCUGCCCCUUAACACAUUGGAAGGGGGAAUCACAAUAGCUCAUUGUCCCCAGCAGAAAAUAACUCCUGUCCUUGAAAACAGUAGCAUAGUCCUCUGUUAAGCCCUUUCUGUUUUUUUGUUUGUUUUUGUUUUUUUGAGACAGAGUUUUGCUCUUGUUGCUCCGGCUGGAGUGCAGUGGCGUGGUCUUGGCUCACUGCAACCUCCACCUCCCGGGUUCAAGCGAUUCUCCUGCUUUGGCCUCCUUAGUAGUUGGGACUACAGGCACGCUCCACCACACCCGGCUAAUUUUUGUGUUUUCAGUAGAGAUGGGGUUUCACCAUGUUGGCCAAGCUGGUCUCAAACUCCUGACCUCAGGUGAUCCAUCCACUUUGGCCUCCCAAACUGCUGGGAUUACAGGCGUGAGCCACCACGCCUGGCCGUUUUUGUUUUGAGCUGAAGUUUCGCUCUGUCAUCCAGGCUGGAGUGCAGUGGCACAAUCUUGGCUCACUGCAGCCUCCACCUCCCAGGUUCAAGUGAUUCUCCUGCAUCAGCCUCCUGAGUAGGUGGGUCUACAGGUGCACACCACCACACCCGGCUAAUUUUUUUGUAUUUUUAGUAGAGAUGGGGUUUCACCAUAUUGGCCAGGCUGCUCUCAAACUCCUGACCUCAAGUGAUCCACCCGCCUCUGUCUCCAAAGUGUUGGGAUUACAGGCAUGAGCCACUGCGCCCAGUUCAGCCUUUUCUGUUAACAGCUGUUGAUGAGGCCGAGAGUGGAGGAGGUGAGGAUGACCUGAGGUUUUCCAGAGGAGGGAAGAGGUGGAUAUGUGGUUACACCCCUAGAUUUUUUUUUUUUUUUUUUUUGGGUGGAGGAAUCUGGCUCUGUCACCCAGGCUAGAGUGUAGUGGCACAAUCUCGGCUAACUGCAGCCUCCACCUCCUGGGUUCAAGAAAUUCUUCUGCCUCAGCCUUUUGAGUACCUGGCAUUACAGGCACCUGCCACCACGCCCGGCUAAUUUUUGUACUUUUAGUAGAGGUGGGGUUUCGCCAUGUGGGCCAGGCUGGUCUUGAACUCCUGAGCUCAAGUGAUCCUCCCUCCUCGGCCUCCCAAAGUGCACCCCUAGAUACUGAUGCUGCUCCUCACCCAUGGACACUUCCCUGGGAAAUCCAUUUCUCAAAGAAAUUUCCAAGUAUACUUGUAGGCCCCCAGUUGAAAUCUUUGAGAGAACAGACCCUAGGAGCUGAGCAGUGACGGGGUUGGACUUCCAUUUUCAGCUGGAGUGCAGAUACAGUUCUGCUAAUAGGACUGCCCCUUUGGUUAUUGUACCAUUGCCAUGUUAGGUGUGAGUUCAGUUUUGUUGCUCUUCAUUUAGAAGAAUCCAAAAUUGGCAUGCCAUGCUAUAUAAAGCAAAGGACAGUGUGAAGAAUAGUUACCUCACACCGUUUUACAAUGGCUUUCAGGGAAAAAAAAGCCCUGACUUACAGCAUUUGGGGACUUUCACAGUGUAAAUACUCCUCCUUUGGCCAAUUCAAGCUACCAACAUGACAUCAUUAAACACAUAUUUGGCAAGAGAUGUGCACGAUUGUGUGAGCUGGCCCCAGCACACCACUGCAAUACCCGCUAAAUGUAUCCAGUGCAUUCCAGCUGCUCUGAGGCUGAUGUGUGGUGGCUGGGGAACAGGCCUGUUGCUGAGUCGUGGUGUGUACACACACACACAAUUUACCUCCUUCUCUGUUUCACUUGCCCUUGGCCUAGGGAAUGAACUACAUCUCAGUCUAAGGAACCACUAAAUUGGAUUCAAAGACAGUUGAGCAGAUCUACAGCCCUGUUGGGUCCAUCCGAAAAUCAAGGUGGCCAGUAAGGUGACAGCUCUUUUAGGAGCCUUUUACCUGCUAUAAUCUGUCUGAUUAUUGGAUUCUUUACUCAGGUCAUAGCACGUAUCCUCCUCUCCCAGCACAUAGCCUGCACCCAGCACAUCUGAGUGUGUGUUCUGACCACAUCACUAUUAUGUGACCUCCCACGCUCAGGUCAUGAAAGGAUCAGCAAAGAAGAGCAAGAAGGCCCAGCAUUUGGUGGCAUACCAGGGGCAAAUCAGACAUCACAGUAUUUUAUGUACUAUUGUGUACCUCUGCUCUGGGAGCCAAAUCCCUGGAUUUAGUUUUAUUCUUAACCAUUGAGGGAUUUGGUUAAAUGAUUUCUCACUCCAGCUGGGUGUGGUGGCUCAUGCCUGUAAUCCCAGCACUUUGGGAGGCUGAGGCCAGCGGAUCACUGGAGGUCAGGAGUUCCAGACCAGCCUGACCAACAUGGUGAAACCCUGUCUCUACUAAAAAAUACAAAAUUAGCCAGGCGUGGUGGCGCAUGCCUGUAAUCCCAGCUACUUGGGAGGCUGAGGCAGGAGAAUCACUUGAACCUGGGAGGCAGAGGUUGCAGUGAGCCAGGUGCGUGCCACUGCACUCCAGCCUGGGAAACGAGUGAAACUCUGUCUCAAAAAAAAAAAAAAAAAAAAGUUUCUCACCCCAGUUCCUUUGCUCAGAAGGGGGAUGGGGCCAUCACUGGGGAAGUAGCCUUGAGAGUUCCUCAGGAACAGGGUACUCAGACCACAUGACUUCCCCUCUCUAGCCUGUAACUGUGGGCCUUUUUGAUUCUGCCACAUAGGUGGUUGAGGCACCAUAGGGAAAUGAAAAGAGACUGGUACAGGGCUUGAGGCUUGGCAGGUAAGCCAGGACCUGGUGAUUUCCAAGGUCUGCCCAGUGCCACAGUGAUUUGUUAGAAGAUUGCUAGGUGCUCCUCCGGUCAGAUAAACCCAGCUGGAGUCCCUUGGCCCUCCUGAGACUUCCUCCCCAUGACUCUGCAACACGGUGGGUUCCCCUUAAGACAGCAGCGUAGUUCUGGAAGCUGAAGCCCACAGGACUGGGGCAGCUGGGAGCCUUCAUAAGCCUUCCCUUGUUAGAGAGAGCCAGGAUGGGGUGGGGGUGGGAUUUGAGUUAUAUCUUUACAUCUUGGCCGGGCGCGGUGGCUCACGCCUAUAGUCCUAGCACUUCGGGAGGCUGAGGUGGGUGGAUCACAAGGUCGGGAGUUCGAGACCAGCCUGGCCAACAUGGUGAAACCCUAUCUCUACUAAAAAUAGAAAAAUUAGCUGGGCAUGGUGGCGUGCACCUGUAAUCCCAGCUGCUCGGGAGGCUGAGACAGGAGAAUCGCUUGAGCUUGGGAGGUGGAGGUUGCAGUGAGCCGAGAUCGUGCCAUUGCACUCCAGCCUGGGCGACAGAGCGAGACUCCGCCUCAAAAAAAAAAAAAAAAAAAAAUCGUCAAGUCUUGGUGUUUACUGUCUCACCCUCUCUGUCUCUUGCAGUAGUAUUUUGCCUUUGAGUAACUGUCCCCAGCUCCAGUGCUGCAGGCACAUUGUUCCAGGGCCUCUGUGGUGCUCCUGAUGCCCCUCACCCACUGUCGAAGAUCCCCGGUGGGCGAGGGGGCGGCAGGGAUCCUUCUCUCUCAGCUCUGAUAUAUAAGGUAAGGAGGACCCUGGGAUGGAAGGCUGGGGUUGGAGCCUUCUCAGACUCCACUGUGCUGCUGCUCAAGGGGAAUAAUCACUUUCUUAGUCUUCUGGCUCUUAGCCUAGGCCAGUGGGGGACUGUGAAGGACUCUCAGCUGAGGCUGUUGCAUGGCUUAUUGGGAAUACUAGAGGAGAGAGAUCAGCACCAUUUGUUGCCUUUUAAUCUGCUGUAAUUGAGGCCCAGAAGUUAGUUUAGCUUCUCACUAAGACUGGGAUGGAAGGUUAGCAAGGCAGCUGAAUUCUGGGCUUUUGAGAUUGUGCCCAAGGGAGAUAACACGGACCCUGCAGUCCACUUGGAAUCAGACUUUGGCUGACUGGGGCUCCAGCCAAACCCUCACACAUACCCUCAUUUGUUUUUGAUAUUUCCCUUUCUGACAGGGAAGGAAAAGAACAUGGUGUUGAGGGAAAGCGUGGGCUUUCGAGUCAGGGAGACCUGGGUUUGAAUCUCAUCUCUGCCAUUCACUGUCCUUGGAGCCUUGGGUCAGUUGCUUCAUUAUUCUCAGACUUAAAGUGGAGUUGUUAAUUACCAUCUCAAGUGCUUGUCAUGAUGAUAAAGGUAAUAUAUGGGACAGCACUUUGUACUUGGCACCUAGUGGACAAUUUAGGUAAAUAUUUCCCUUUCUGUUUUGCUAGCUUUUACCACCAUCAACUGGUCUUAAUGCCUGGACGAGAAGCUCACUGUGACCCAGGACCUCCCUGUGAAUGAUGGAAAACCUCACAUCGUCCACUUCCAGUAUGAGGUCACCGAGGUGAAGGUCUCUUCUUGGGAUGCAGUCCUGUCCAGCCAGAGCCUGUUUGUAGAAAUCCCAGAUGGAUUAUUAGCUGAUGGGAGCAAAGAAGGAUUGUUAGCACUGCUAGAGUUUGCUGAAGAGAAGAUGAAAGUGAACUAUGUCUUCAUCUGCUUCAGGAAGGGUCGAGAAGACAGAGCUCCACUCCUGAAGACCUUCAGCUUCUUGGGCUUUGAGAUUGUACGUCCAGGCCAUCCCUGUGUCCCCUCUCGGCCAGAUGUGAUGUUCAUGGUUUAUCCCCUGGACCAGAACUUGUCCGAUGAGGACUAAUAGUCAUAGAGGAUGCUUUACCCAAGAGCCACAGUGGGGGAAGAGGGGAAGUUAGGCAGCCCUGGGACAGACGAGAGGGCUCCUCGCUGUCUAGGGAAGGACACUGAGGGGCUCAGGGUGAGGGUUGCCUAUUGUGUUCUCGGAGUUGACUCGUUGAAAUUGUUUUCCAUAAAGAACAGUAUAAACAUAUUAUUCACAUGUAAUCACCAAUAGUAAAUGAAGAUGUUUAUGAACUGGCAUUAGAAGCUUUCUAAACUGCGCUGUGUGAUGUGUUCUAUCUAGCCUAGGGGAGGACAUUGCCUAGAGGGGGAGGGACUGUCUGGGUUCAGGGGCAUGGCCUGGAGGGCUGGUGGGCAGCACUGUCAGGCUCAGGUUUCUCUGCUGUUGGCUUUCUGUUUUGGUUAUUAAGACUUGUGUAUUUUCUUUCUUUGCUUCCUGUCACCCCAGGGGCUCCUGAGUAUAGGCUUUUCAGUCCCUGGGCAGUGUCCUUGAGUUGUUUUUUGACACUCUUACCUGGGCUUCUCUGUGUGCAUUUGCGUCUGGCCUGGAGUAAGCAGGUCCGACCCCUCCUUCUUUACAGCUUAGUGUUAUUCUGGCAUUUGGUUAAGCUGGCUUAAUCUGUUUAAUGUUAUCAGUACAUUUUAAAUAGGGGCAUUGAAAUUUACUCCCACCACCAGGGCUUUUUUGGGGGAUGCCUGGGCCUUUAAAACACUAGCCAAACUCUAAUUAAUUCUCAAAUCACUGCCAGGAGUUCUUGCUCCUGGCUGCAGGCCCAGGCCCCAAGGUCUCCUUCUUGGGGUCACAAAGAGCAGUAAGGAAGAGGAAUAUACAGCAACUCAGGGCCUGGGAAUUGUGGGGCAAUCCGUUCUUAGGGACUGGAUACUUCUGGCUGGCUGAGUAUAGUACUAGCUGCCUCCCCACCAGGUUCCGAGUAGUGUCUGAGACUCUGCUCUGCAGGGCCUAGGGUAGCGCUGGGAGUGUAGAAGUGGCCUGCCCUUAACUGUUUUCACUAAACAGCAUUUUCUAAGGGGCGAGCAAGGGGGAGAGAGCUAGAUUGGGUGAGGGGGACGGGGAUGUCAGGGAGGCAAGUGUGUUGUGUUACUGUGUCAAUAAACUGAUUUAAAGUUG